rnacentral:lncRNA from 1 species
CUUCUGGACCACUUUCCGCAGGGCUCUGUGGUGAGGUCGGAGCGCGCCUCGCCUGUGAUGCUGCUCUUGGACAGGCUUUGUACCGUUGGCCUUCGCCAGAAUUGUUGGAACAUGGAUGACUAUCUUCAAGUUACUGUAACACAAAAUCUCAAGCCAAAAAGUAACAUAGGAAUAAUACAGACUGGAUCAUUUGAUUAG